CACACCGACACGGGGUGUCCCGUCCACGCUGGACAGGGCUGAGAUCACACCCGUUGAACCUGAUCCAGUUCAUGCUGGCGAAGGGAUGUCACCCGCCCUGCCC
rnacentral:ncRNA from 2 species